ensembl:lncRNA
AGAAACCUGGGUUCAAGUCAGCCAGUCUUCGGGCUUAUUUGUGGGGAACCUGUUAGAAGGGAGCUCACUGCCGCUUCACUGCCCCACUAUGACCCUGGUGUUCACCUUGAUGCUUGAGAUGCUCCUGUUUCUGAGAGCUGGAGCCCAGUCAGUGACCCAGCCUGAUGACCACAUCACUGUCUCUGAAGGAGCCCGUCUGGAGCUGAAGUGCAACUACUCAUCUUCUGUUUCACCAUACCUCUUCUGGAGACCUGUUUUAGGGCACUCCUGAGCAAUGAAUGUGCAUCUCUUCACCAGGAUGGACUCCAGCACAGAGCUGUGUGGGCUGCUUGGCAUCGUCUGUUGUGAGGGGAUCUUCCUGACCCAGGGAUCAAACCCCCAUCUCUUUUGUCCCCUGCAUUGGCAAGUAUAUUCUUUACUGCUCCAUCCCCUGAAAAACUCUUUCAAAUGGGGAUUAGUAA